UAAUUGAAGAGUUUGAUCAUGGCUCAGAUUGAACGCUGGCGGCAGGCCUAACACAUGCAAGUCGAGCGGCAGCACAGAGGAACUUGUUCCUUGGGUGGCGAGCGGCGGACGGGUGAGUAAUGC
rnacentral:rRNA from 1 species